AUUGAACGCUGGCGGCAUGCCUUACACAUGCAAGUCGAACGGUAACAGGUCUUCGGAUGCUGACGAGUGGCGAACGGGUGAGUAAUACAUCGGAACGUGCCCGAUCGUGGGGGAUAACGAAGCGAAAGCUUUGCUAAUACCGCAUAAGAUCUACGGAUGAAAGCAGGGGACCGCAAGGCCUUGCGCGAACGGAGUGGCCGAUGGAGGAUUAGGUAGUUGGUGGGAUAAAAGCUUACCAAGCCGACGAUCUGUAGCGGGUCUGAGAGGACGAACAGCCACACUGGGACGGAGACACGGCCCAGAAUCCUACGGGAGGCAGCAGUGGGGAAUUUUGGACAAUGGGCGCAAGCCUGAUCCAGCCAUGCCGCGUGCAGGAGGAAGGCCUUCGGGUUGUAAACUGCUUUUGUACGGAACGAAAAGACUGUGGUUAAUACCUGGGGUCCAUGACGGUACCGUAAGAAUAAGCACCGGCUAACUACGUGCCAGCAGCCGCUGUAAGAC
rnacentral:rRNA from 1 species